UGUUUAAAUUUUUUGUUUAUUUACUAGGGUUUAUUUGACUGUGGUUUAAUUUUUUUGGUUACUGGUUUGGAUAUUUUGUCUGUGAUUGUUAGGGAGUUCAUUAAAAAUGUUUUUUAGUUGGAUAAGUCCAAACUAGGGUUACUGGUUUAGUUGUUGAAAAAAUUAUUUGAAUGUUAUUUAAAUUUUUUAUUAAUAUUUAUAUUUAUUUGAAUGUUGUCUAUGAGGGACAUGGUGGACCGGAGACGUCAAGAUUCGUUAACGAGAAUCUGUUUGCUAAUCUCAAGACUUCAAAAUGGGUUGACCCUGAUUCUGCAGACAAAGCGUAACCGGUCUGACAUUCAAGAGGUGUAUUACAGUGAAGAGACACAUAAGUUUUCAGUGUCAGCAAUAGAGGAAAGUGUGAAGUUAGAAGGAAGAAUGACCUUUCCUCUUUGGACAGCACUUACAUAGUUGAUCAUGUGUUUUUCUGUGAACGGCUUUAUGAUCCCGAUAAGUGAUCUCUCAAGCAGUCAGCUCUACUUCCUACUACCAUCAGUAUGGUUGCACUUUAUAAGCUAUGUUUGGAUAUUGGGACCAAAUUUAAAAGAAAGAAAAUCAUUGCAAUGAAGGCUGGCAUAAAACUGGUGAUAUCGGGCGGAUAGACGCUAAUGGUAAUCUAUGGCUCAUUGGGCGCAUGAAAGGGCGUAUCAAAAGUGGAGGCGAAAACAUGUAUCCCGAAGAGGUAAGCAUCACCAAAUUACGAAAGCUGAUUUAACUGGUAUAAGUUAGGUUUGAAAUUUAACUGUAUUCAGUUUGACAUAACCAGAUGUUAAU